CCUACGGGUGGCAGCAGUGAGGAAUAUUGGUCAAUGGCCGGAAGGCUGACCCAGCCAAGCCGCGUGAGGGACGAAGGUGCCAAGCAUUGUAAACUUCUUUUGUCAAGGGACAAAAUCAGGCUCGAGAGCCUGACCGAGGGUACUUGAAGAAAAAGCAUCGACUAACUCAGUGCCAGCAGCCGCGGUAAUACGGGGGAUGCGAGCGGUAUCCGGAGUUAUUGGGUUUAAAGGGUGCGUAGGCGGGCUGUUAAGUCAGCGGUAAAAGGCCGGGGCUAAAGCCCGGCGAGCCGUUGAAACUGGCUGUCGUGAGAUGUCGAGAGGGAUGCGGAAUGCGCGGUGUAGCGGUGAAAUGCGGAGAUAUCACGAGGAACCCCGAUUGCGAAGGCAGCCUGCCGGGGUGCGACUGACGCUGAGGCUCGAAGGUGCGGGUAUCAAACAGGAUUAGAUACCCGUGUAGUC
rnacentral:rRNA from 1 species